rnacentral:rRNA from 1 species
GACGAACGCUGGCGGCGUGCCUAAUACAUGCAAGUAGAACGCUGAAGCUUGGUGCUUGCACCGAGCGGAUGAGUUGCGAACGGGUGAGUAACGCGUAGGUAACCUGCCUGGUAGCGGGGGAUAACUAUUGGAAACGAUAGCUAAUACCGCAUAAGAGUAGAUGUUGCAUGACAUUUGCUUAAAAGGUGCAAUUGCAUCACUACCAGAUGGACCUGCGUUGUAUUAGCUAGUUGGUGAGGUAACGGCUCACCAAGGCAACGAUACAUAGCCGACCUGAGAGGGUGAUCGGCCACACUGGGACUUAGACACGGCCCAGACUCCUACGGGAGGCAGCCGUAGGGAAUCUUCGGCAAUGGACGGAAGUCUGACCGAGCAACGCCGCGUGAGUGAAGAAGGUUUUCGGAUCGUAAAGCUCUGUUGUAAGAGAAGAACGAGUGUGAGAGUGGAAAGUUCACACUGUGACGGUAUCUUACCAGAAAGGGACGGCUAACUACGUG